AUGUAUACCUUGCGCCGGGUGCAGGAUUCUAUCAGGGCGAACCGGAGUGUAGAAGACCCUAUGACGGUGGAGCAGCUCUUAAACCAGGGCAGGGAUAACAUAGACAUCAACCAAAGACAGUGCCGCUGCAACAGAGUGCUAAUCACAGCUGAUGCCCUGCUGUUGGCUGCUUUGUCCCCAUAAUGCACUCCAACCUCCAAACCCAUUCCCAGGGGAUCAUGGCGAAGGCUGCAACCCUCUCUCUUAGCAGCAGCAGCUGAACUCCACAUCCUAACACUGAUGGAGCACAUGAAACCUCAGCAGUCGCAACUUGCUGCAACGGUCAACAGCCUAGAUGGGAGGAUGGAGAACAACUUGCCCCAACCCGAUGAUGACCUAGACAGUGUCUAUAGGACGGCACAAAUGCCAGGAUCAAAACACAACAUGGUGACCAUAGGUAAGCUGUACCUGACCCAGAAGACUAUCGUUGAGGGGUAGGGGUCAAAGAGGAGCCUCUGAUGGGGCAGUAAUGGACUGCCUUAAAACGAUAGGAAACGAUGUCUAAGAGACCAUGGCAGAUGGAGCACUGAACCUCAACCUAACUUCACUUUCCACACGGAAGCUUAAUUUCCCGCAACCUUUGGAUGGAUAUGGGGGAAAGCAUUGUGGGAGGCAACUAGAUUCAAAGUAUAAUACAGAUCUAUGAGGUGGGAAUAGGGAAGAGGUGAGGGGUUGGUUGAUUUCGGACUGGGCAACUGUCCUGCGUCGAUUACAUAACUAUUGUUCUUGGUCACUAUAUACCCUCUCUUCACCAUAGUAUAUUUCGCUUUUCACGUUUCUUUUGUGAGCCGUACAGACAGCCUUGAUUUCUUGAUGUUUUUGCCAGUCUUUUAAUUGUGUAUUGUAUAUAUGAUUUGUCGUCAUGUAAGGUGGUGUAUAAAUGGAUUAAAGAUAUGCAUAUCUGAAUUGAA